rnacentral:lncRNA from 1 species
AUCUAUCUAUCUAUCUAUCUAUCUAUAAAAUAUUUUUCUGAAUCUAGUUCUAAUUUCAGAGAACCGCGGAAGGAUGACCGAAGAGCGGGCUUAUCACCCGCGUGCGUCGUUAGGAGUUUAAACCCGGGCCCCCUCGCGCGUCCGGCAGGGAGGAGCCAGACCGGGUUUUCAGUCUGCUUUCAUCACCGAGCCCCGCGGAGGACCGACAGCAGCCUGGCCGCCUCUCCCCUCCUUUCCUCUCCUCUCACUCGACCGUUCGGCUCUACUUUCGUCCCGUUAGGCUCCACAGGGUACAAUCAUGGAGGAAAUGGACUUUGAGCGUCGCCGGGAGCUGAGGAGACAGAAGCGCGAGGAGAUGCGCCUGGAAGCAGAACGGAUGGCCAAGCAUGAUGAUGAUGAGGAGGAGGCUGCCCGCGAGAGGAGGCGCAGGGCACGCCAGGAGAGGCUGAGGAGCAGGGACAGCGAGGAGCCCUGCAGCCAGCCAGAUAGUCUGGUCAUGACCAACAGCCACAGGUGACCUAAGGGACGACCUUAAUGCCUUUAUUUAUUUAUUAACAUUUAACCACAAUUGCACACAAGCAACCCACUCCAUGCUGCUGUCAGCGGGAUUA